UUUAUGGAGAGUUUGAUCCUGGCUCAGGAUGAACGCUGGCGGCGUGCCUAAUACAUGCAAGUCGAGCGAACGGACGAGAAGNNNNNNNNUCUGAUGUUAGCGGCGGACGGGUGAGUAACACGUGGAUAACCUACCUAUAAGACUGGGAUAACUUCGGGAAACCGGAGCUAAUACCGGAUAAUAUUUUGAACCGCAUGGUUCAAAAGUGAAAGACGGUCUUGCUGUCACUUAUAGAUGGAUCCGCGCUGCAUUAGCUAGU
rnacentral:rRNA from 1 species